AUGAACUACGGUCACAUACAUUUAGGAAGGAUGGGACUCCCGAUGAAUGUUGUGCCUUAUGGGAUCGAGACUAAAGGUAUCAUGAGUAUUAUCAACUUACGGCCAAGAUAUCCUACAACUUACUUUAGUGCAUUCAAGAUUAGCGACGGAUGCUUAAUAGUGCAAGAUUGGACCAAAUAUGUGUUGGGGGAGCGCAGAGAAGUACUAGGGAGCAGCAACCAGAGGCGCCUUUCACGAUUAGGAGACAGGUUCAUCUGCAUGCUCCAACUUGAUCAAGGAGGAGAGCUACACAUGUUUUAUGUUCUUUUACCUAAGAGAGAGCAGCAGGAGUGA
rnacentral:rRNA from 1 species